rnacentral:rRNA from 1 species
AGCAGCCGCGGUAAUUCCAGCUCCAAUAGCGUAUAUUAAAGUUGUUGCAGUUAAAAAGCUCGUAGUUGAAUUUCGAGACCGGUCUACUGGUCGUGCUUUUGUACGUACUGGUAUAAUCGGUUUCUCUCUUCUGACGAACUAUAAUGCCAUUAAUUUGGUGUUUUAGGGAAUCAGGACUGUUACUUUGAAAAAUUAGAGUGUUUAAAGCAGGCUCACGCUUGAAUACAUUAGCAUGGAGUAACGAAAUAGGACGUUUGAUUCUAUUUUGUUGGUUUCUAGGAUCGACGUAAUGAUUAAUAGGGAUAGUUGGGGGCAUUAGUAUUCAAUUGUCAGAGGUGAAAUUCUUGGAUUUAUUGAAGACUAACUACUGCGAAAGCAUUUGCCAAGGAUGUUUUCAUUAAUCAAGAACGAAAGUUAGGGGAUCGAAGACGAUCAGAUACCGUCGUAGUCUUAACCAUAAAUUAUGCCGACUAGGGAUCGGGAUGAUGUUAAAUUAAUGACUCA